rnacentral:rRNA from 1 species
AGUGAACGCUGGCGGUAGGCCUAACACAUGCAAGUCGAACGGCAGCACAGUAAGAGCUUGCUCUUACGGGUGGCGAGUGGCGGACGGGUGAGGAAUACAUCGGAAUCUACUUUUUCGUGGGGGAUAACGUAGGGAAACUUACGCUAAUACAGCAUACGACCUACGGGUGAAAGCAGGGGAUCUUCGGACCUUGCGCGAUUGAAUGAGCCGAUGUCGGAUUAGCUAGUUGGCGGGGUAAAGGCCCACCAAGGCGACGAUCCGUAGCUGGUCUGAGAGGAUGAUCAGCCACACUGGAACGGAGACACGGUCCAGACUCCUACGGGAGGCAGCAUUGGGGAAUAUUGGACAAUGGGCGCAAGCCUGAUCCAGCCAUACCGCGUGGGUGAAGAAGGCCUUCGGGUUGUAAAGCCCUUUUGUUGGGAAAGAAAAGCAGCAGGUUAAUACCCCGCUGUUCUGACGGUACCCAAAGAAUAAGCACCGGCUAACUUCGUG